rnacentral:rRNA from 1 species
CCCUUCGACAUCCCGGUCGCGGUUUCCAGAGAUGGAUUCCUUCAGUUCGGCUGGACCGGUGACAGGGUGCUGCAUGGCGUGUCGUCAGCUCGUGUCGUGAGAUGUUGGGUAAGUCCCGCAACGAGCGCAACCCUCGCCCUUAGUUGCCAUCAUUCAGUUGGGCACUCUAAGGGGACUGCCGGUGAUAAGCCGAGAGGAAGGUGGGGAUGACGUCAAGUCCUCAUGGCCCUUACGGGCUGGGCUACACACGUGCUACAAUGGUGGUGACAGUGGGCAGCGAGACCGCGAGGUCGAGCUAAUCUCCAAAAGCCAUCUCAGUUCGGAUUGCACUCUGCAACUCGAGUGCAUAAAGUUGGAAUCGCUAGUAAUCGCGGAUCAGCAUGCCGCGGUGAAUACGUUCCCGGGCCUU